rnacentral:rRNA from 1 species
AGUGAACGCUGGCGGUAUGCCUAACACAUGCAAGUCGAACGGCAGCACAGUAAGAUCUUGCUCUUACGGGUGGCGAGUGGCGGACGGGUGAUGAAUACAGCGGGAUCUACUUUUUCGUGGGGGAUAACGUAGGGAAACUUACGCUAAUACCGCAUACGACCUACGGGUGAAAGCAGGGGAUCUUCGGACCUUGCGCGAUUGAAUGAGCCGAUGUCGGAUUAGCGAGUUGGCGGGGUAAAGGCCCACAAAGGCGACGAUCCGUAGCUGGCCUGAGAGGAUGAUCAGCCACACUGGAACAGAGACACGGUCCAGACUCCUACGGGAGGCAGCAGUGGGGACUAUUGGACAAUGGACGCAAGCCUGAUCCAGCCAUACCGCGUGGGUGAAGAAGGACUUAGGGUUGUAAAGUCCUGUUGUUGGGAAAGAAAAGCAGCAGGUUAAUACCCCGCUGUUCUGACGGUACCCAAAGAAUAAGCACCGGCUAACUUCGUG